rnacentral:rRNA from 1 species
UACGAAGGGUGCAAACGUUGCUCGGAAUUAUUGGGCGUAAAGCGCGCGCAGGCGGUUUCUUAAGUCUGAUGUGAAAGCCCACGGCUCAACCGUGGAGGGUCAUUGGAAACUGGGGAACUUGAGUGCAGAAGAGAAAAGCGGAAUUCCACGUGUAGCGGUGAAAUGCGUAGAGAUGUGGAGGAACACCAGUGGCGAAGGCGGCUUUUUGGUCUGUAACUGACGCUGAGGCGCGAAAGCGUGGGGAGCAAACAGG